UAGUGAAUGGUUACCACAUCUGGAUAUG
rnacentral:sRNA from 1 species